GAUGAACGCUGGCGGCGUACCUAAUACAUGCAAGUCGAGCGAACGGACGAGAAGCUUGCUUCUCUGAUGUUAGCGGCGGACGGGUGAGUAACACGUGGAUAACCUACCUAUAAGACUGGGAUAACUUCGGGAAACCGGAGCUAAUACCGGAUAAUAUUUUGAACCGCAUGGUUCAAAAGUGAAAGACGGUCUUGCUGUCACUUAUAGAUGGAUCCGCGCUGCAUUAGCUAGUUGGUAAGGUAACGGCUUACCAAGGCAACGAUGCAUAGCCGACCUGAGAGGGUGAUCGGCCACACUGGAACUGAGACACGGUCCAGACUCCUACGGGAGGCAGCAGUAGGGAAUCUUCCGCAAUGGGCGAAAGCCUGACGGAGCAACGCCGCGUGAGUGAUGAAGGUCUUCGGAUCGUAAAACUCUGUUAUUAGGGAAGAACAUAUGUGUAAGUAACUGUGCACAUCUGACGGUACCUAUCAG
rnacentral:rRNA from 1 species